rnacentral:rRNA from 1 species
CGCGAAUCGCCCUUCGGGGUGCACCAGGCGCGAAAACUUCACAAUGGGAGAAAUCCCGAUGAGGGAAUUCCAAGUGCUAGCACUAUGUGUUAGCUGUUCUUUUGUCUAAAAAACAGAAGAAGUAAGGGCCGGGUAAGACGGGUGCCAGCCGCCGCGGUAAUACCCGCGGCCCGAGUGGUGGUCGAUAUUAUUGAGCCUAAAACGUCCGUAGCCGGUCUUGUAAAUCCUUGGGUAAAUCGGCCAGCUUAACUGUCCGAAGUCCGGGGAGACUGCAAGACUUGGGAUCGGGAGAGGUCAGAGGUACUUCUGGGGUAGGGGUAAAAUCCUGUAAUCCUGGAAGGACCACCGGUGGCGAAGGCGUCUGACUAGAACGAAUUCGACGGUGAGGGACGAAGCCCUGGGGCGCAAACGGGAUUAGAUACCCCGGUAGUCCAGGGUGUAAACGCUGCGGGCUUGGUAUUGGGGGUCCUUUGUGGGCGCCCAGUGCCGGAGAGAAGUUGUUAAGCCUGCUGCUUGGGGAGUACGUCCGCAAGGAUGAAACUUAAAGGAAUUGGCGGGGGAGC